rnacentral:lncRNA from 1 species
GGGAAGGGCCCCCAGGAUUCCUGAGAACCCUCCAGCUGUGUGCGGGGCAGAGGUGGGGGCCUCCACACCUCUGCUCAGGGCAGCCUGGAUGGCUGGACCAGCUCGUACCAUUGAAAAACUUGAUGAUGUCAGUGAAGUCCAUGUUGUUGUCACGGAUGAUCUCUCGGCUUGACUGGAUGCCCGAGGCCACGGAGUAAUUGCGAGAGGAGGGCAGUCCUGAGUCUGGAGAGUCGAACUCCACGGAAUGCUGCUGCUCCACCACGGCGGUGCCCGGAGUCCCGGGUCCUGCUUCCUGCUCAGCCUCCAACACUGUGGCCACGGGGCACCAAGCCAGCUUCUGACCCAGCCAGCCAGGCGGAGAGAAACAAGCCUCUGGCCAAACAUGAAGACACGUCUUCAGCCCUGCUUGAAGGAACAGCCCCAGGUCUUCCUGUGGCUACUGAAGGGAAGUAGGGGAGCCAGGGGGCUGAACGCUCAAUGGCCAGUUUGAACUCAGUCUCAUUCUAGAAACGCCUGAAGUCAUGAGACCGGGAGAAUGGCCUUAGUGUUUUGGUGUGGCUGGGUGGAGAGAAGCCUAGAGGUUUUAGGAAAAACAAGUUUUGCCUUAUUUUCAGUACUGAGUGUUCAGCAGGACAAGACAGGAACGUUCUGUAGCAAGCACCUAGUCAGUUCCAUUAGCCCUCAGGCAAGGUGGGGAGAUGUAGGAAGGAAAAGCAAACAUUCUGCCUCCUAGAUACAGUCCACCACCAUGGACAAGGCACGAGGAAAAGAAGAGACACAUACAGAGACUGUUUGGGAUUUUUCUCUCUCUGUUUUCACCACGUAGGGAAAGCAAUGCUAAAAGUAGUUUCUACUUUGGGCAGGAAGCAUGAAGUGCUGGGUAAGGCCACGGUUCUGUGGCAAUCUAAUACGCCAGCGAGGAGCUACUGCUGUCCAUGAGCUCAGCAGCUGGGCACUGGCACAGACAGAUUUUUACAAAACCCAAAGCCAGAGAGAGGGAGAAUGUGUUCCUGGAUAGGGGAUUAAGAACAAAGCACGUGGGAAAUGACAAUGUGCCUUGUUUGUUCUAUUUCUUUUUUUUUAUUUUAUUUCUGA